rnacentral:rRNA from 1 species
UACGGAGGGGGCGAGCGUUAUUCGGAAUUAUUGGGCGUAAAGGGCUCGUAGGCGGCCAACUAAGUCAGACGUGAAAUCCCUCGGCUUAACCGGGGAACUGCCUUUGAUACUGGGUGUCUUGAGUAUGGAAGAGGUGAGUGGAAUUCCGAGUGUAGAGGUGAAAUUCGUAGAUAUUCGGAGGAACACCAGUGGCGAAGGCGGCUCACUGGUCCAUUACUGACGCUGAGGUGCGAAAGCGUGGGGAGCAAACAGG